UGCUAAUACCGGAUAACAACAGAUGAUGCCUAUCAACUGUUUAAAAGAUGGUUCUGCUAUCACUCUUGGAUGGACCUGCGGUGCAUUAGCUAGUUGGUAGGGUAACGGCCUACCAAGGCGAUGAUGCAUAGCCGAGUUGAGAGACUGAUCGGCCACAUUGGGACUGAGACACGGCCCAAACUCCUACGGGAGGCAGCAGUG
rnacentral:rRNA from 1 species